rnacentral:rRNA from 1 species
GACGAACGCUGGCGGCGUGCUUAACACAUGCAAGUCGAACGAAGUGGCGAACGGGUGAGUAAUACGUGGGUAACCUGCCCUCCUUUUUGGGAUAAGCCUUGGAAACGGGGUCUAAUACCGAAUAAGGGGGGAUGGGCUCGCGGCCUAUCAGCUUGUUGGUGGGGUGUUGGCCUACCAAGGCGGUGACGGGUAGCCGGCCUGAGAGGGUGACCGGCCACAUUGGGACUGAGAGACGGCCCAGACUCCUACGGGAGGCAGCAGUGGGGGAUAGUGCACGAUGGGGGAAAGUCUGACGGAGCAACGCCGCGUGAGUGAUGACGGCCUUCGGGUUGUAAAGCUCUGUUAAUCGGGACGCGGUACCGGAAUAGAAAGCCACGGCUAACUACGUGCCAGCAGCCGCGGUAAUUC